rnacentral:lncRNA from 1 species
CCGAAAAGGGCACAUUCGGUAUUUACCGAACCGUAGCCAUAACCGUAGGUUAUGAGCAGGUUAAAAUUAAUUAAAAAUCUUUAAAAAUCUUUAAAAAUCCCAAAAUAUUAUUUUACUACAGUGGGUAAAAGUUUUGGUGACGAAAUCUUGGUUUAGGUAGGCGUUAUGCUAAUUGCGCGGUUUAUUACAAAAGUAGGCGUUAUGCUAAUUGCGCCGUUUAUUACAAAAGUUUCUUAAAAAUGCGCUAUUUAGCAUAACUCCCAUUCUAGACCUCGGAUUGGCGUGAAACUUUAGGGACAUGCUUAGAAUUUAGUAAGCAAGGUUAUGGUCCCUUCACGUGUCCGAAAUACUCGUUUUAUUUUAAAAAGGGCGUUACGGUCAACUUUCAAGUAAUUAACGGAAAUGCAUAAAAGACUC